UACGUAGGGUGCAAGCGUUGUCCGGAAUUAUUGGGCGUAAAGAGCUCGUAGGCGGUCUGUCACGUCGGCUGUGAAAUCCCGAGGCUCAACCUCGGGUCUGCAGUCGAUACGGGCAAACUAGAGUAUUGCAGGGGAGACUGGAAUUCCUGGUGUAGCGGUGAAAUGCGCAGAUAUCAGGAAGAACACCGGUGGCGAAGGCGGGGUCUCUGGGCAAUAACUGACGCUGAGGAGCGAAAGCGUGGGGGAGCGAACAGG
rnacentral:rRNA from 1 species